rnacentral:rRNA from 1 species
GACGAACGCUGGCGGCGUGCCUAAUACAUGCAAGUCGAGCGGACGGAUGGGAGCUUGCUCCCAGACCGUCAGCGGCGGACGGGUGAGUAACACGUGGGCAACCUGCCUGUAAGACUGGGAUAACUCCGGGAAACCGGGGCUAAUACCGGAUAACUCUUUCCCUCACAUGAGGGAAAGCUGAAAGAUGGCAUCUCGCUAUCACUUACAGAUGGGCCCGCGGCGCAUUAGCUAGUUGGUGAGGUAACGGCUCACCAAGGCGACGAUGCGUAGCCGACCUGAGAGGGUGAUCGGCCACACUGGGACUGAGACACGGCCAGACUCCUACGGGAGGCAGCAGUAGGGAAUCUUCCGCAAUGGACGAAAGUCUGACGGAGCAACGCCGCGUGAGUGAUGAAGGUUUUCGGAUCGUAAAACUCUGUUGUCAGGGAAGAACAAGUACCGGAGUAACUGCCGGUACCUUGACGGUACCUGACCAGAAAGCCACGGCUAACUACGUG